rnacentral:rRNA from 1 species
GUGUCAGCCGCCGCGGUAAUACGAAAGGGGCUAGCGUUGUUCGGAAUUACUGGGCGUAAAGCGCGCGUAGGCGGCCUUGCAAGUUGGGGGUGAAAUCCCGGAGCUCAACUCCGGAACUGCCUUCAAAACUGCAAAGCUAGAGGAUGCGAGAGGUGAGCGGAAUUCCGAGUGUAGAGGUGAAAUUCGUAGAUAUUGGGAAGAACACCAGUGGCGAAGGCGCUCUGCUGGGCCGAGACUGACACUGAGGGACGAAAGCUAGGGGAGCGAAAGGGAUUAGAUACCCCUGUAGUCCUAGCUGUAAACGAUGGACACUAGGCGUUGGACGUAUCGACCCGUUCAGUGCCGUAGCUAACGCGUUAAGUGUCCCGCCUGGGGAGUACGCACGCAAGUGUGAAACUCAAAGGAAUUGACGGGG